GACUCUUAGUGGUGGAUCACUCGGCUUGUGCAGCGAUGAAGAACACAGCUAGCUGUGAGAAUUAAUGUGAAUUGCAGGACACAUUGAUCAUCAACACUUCGAAUGCACUUGCAGCCCGGGGUUUCUCCCGGGGCUAUGCCUGUCUGAGCGUCA
ensembl:rRNA 5_8S_rRNA 5.8S ribosomal RNA